AUCAAUCGCCGCCGCCACCGCCGUCACUCCCCGCAUAUAAAAACACGAAGAAGAAAAUGAAAGAUCUGAAAUAGGCACACAUAUCUUUCCACUCCCUAUUCCCCUUCCGUGCAGGAAACCCUAGAUCAGAUUGUGGGCGACCGGGAAUGGCCCCGAAGAAGUCCAUCACCAAAGAAGAAGCGGAGAGAAUAUACAUGCUAUGUUGGAUCAGCUACGUGCCAGUUUCGGGUGAUAUCCGCAGGAUACCGCCGAGACGGAUUGUUCUAUACCCAGAUAUCUUUCAGACAGUGUGGGGUUGGGAUCGGCUCCUUCCACACGACAUUGAGUGCGAGGAGUUUUAUUUUGAUUACCUCCGCCAGUAUUACGAACGCAAUCGCCUGGACUACGUCGCGGCUGCCGACGGCCAGUCAAAGCCUCAGGACUGGCCGCUCAAAGCCCCACCAGAGGGUGUUCCCAAAUGCAUCCCGAAUGGGAAGCAUCCUCUCGCUGCUGCUGCCAAACACUGCCUGAAGAUGGAGGUGCGGUUCAUGUCAGUGUGGAAGGAUCGACCCAUACACAACGUCAAAGAACUGAGUGAAAAGAUCCAGGAGCGUGUCAGUCGCCUCAUCAUCCUGGGGCGAGAAUUCUCUGAACCUGCGGCCGCCAGCUUGGUGUGUAUCGCUAACGAGGCCUCUCUGGCUCGUGAGCUGCUGAGACGCGGGGCUAAAGCCAACGACAAGGAGAUCAACUUAUGCAACUGCAUCCGCCACUGUGCGCUGAGUCUUAUGUUCAUGUCAGGACCGCAUUCUGAGGCCUCCGCUGCUGCUAUGGUGGGCGUUGCCAAGGAGGCCAGGAAGAUCUGUGAGUGGAUGAAGAGUACGAAAGAGUGUUGUGUUUUUCGAUCUUACUCCAGAAUCCAUGAGUUGUGCCUUUGUGAUGAAAUCCGGGUUGCAACCUUUGAUGUUUUGAAGCACAUACUGUCGAAUUCUACAGGGGGCAAAGAGCCAUUUGUGCUUAUGGAUUUUGCAAUUAAGAGGAACAGGAGAAAGCACCAAAAUACCAUGGAAGGAACUUCAGAUGAAUCUUUAUUACAUGAACCACGUCAUGAAGGGAAGAGCGUCCUUGGCCUGGGUGACAACAAUGGGGAAUUCGAUGCUCGGAUGAUUGCUCCUCAAAUGGAUCUUCUUAGAGAACAGACCAACGGUCUAGCAAAUUCGAGAAGGGAAAGUGAUAAUUCUGCAGUUGAAAGAGCCCAUCACCUGAAACCAAUUCUUGGUAUCCGAGAACACCUGUCAGAAAAAGAAAACCAGGUUCUUGCACCAGAGGAGCAGAUUGAACAGGAACAAUGUUAUGAAGGGAAGAACCUUGAGCUGGGUGACAACAAUGGGAAAUUGGAUGCUCUGAUGAUUGAUCAUGAAACAGAUCUUCUUAGAGAACAGAAGACCAAGGGUCUAGCAAAUUCCAGAAGGGAAAGUGAUAAUUCUGAAGUUGAAAGAGCCCAUCACAUUAAACCAGUUCUUGGUAUCCGAGAACACCUGUCAGAAAAAGACAACCAGGGUGAGAAAGGUAUAGUUGGCAAGCAAUCUGUGGAGCAGGUAUCUAGUACUCAGAGGAAAGCUUCAUAUUGUACCAUAUCAACUACCCAGAACCACUUGAACAGUAUUUCAGUUGGGUACAAGCCUAAUAUUGUGAAUCAGGCUGACAUGCUUACACCGGACUGUGGUCAGCGCAUACCAAAGCACCCUGCCCUUCUAGACAAGAGAUCUCUUCUUGCAUGCAUUGCUCGUGCAGUUUCUGCUAGUCACAAUAACCAAACCAAGAUUAGUUCAACUCUGCCAAAUAGGCUUGGAAAAAUGUUGGCCCCUCUUCAUUGGCGUGACUAUCGGAAGGAUUAUGGGAAACUAGAUGAUUUUUUGGCUGAGCAUCAAGAGGUUUAUUUCUCUAAUAAUUGCAAUUUAGUCGCUCUAUGUACAAUGUACGAUACCUGUUACGGAUAUACCUAUCACUACUGCAGCUCUUUGUGAUUGAAGGAGACUUUGUUCACCUUCGUGAAGAAGCAGAACAUAUUACAAGAGCUCUUCUGCUCCAUACUAGUUGAAUCUUAUGGCUUCUUUAAGUGGUGUAGUGGGGAUCAACAGUCUCUCUGCUGCUUUUUGUUCCUAUUUUUGAUUGAGUUUUAGAUGUCGGUUCUUAUCUGUGAUCAAAUGUUGAAUGCAUAGUACUCAAGUCAUAUGAAGGAGGUGAAGGUGAGCCGGAACAAGGGAGCUACUGUUGACUGCAUCUUUGUUAUGUUAAAUCAGUGCUUUGGUAGUCAAAUUUGUUAUUUUGGUGCAAUGUAUGUCCAUGUCAAGAGGCAUACUGAGUUUGUGCUUGAUGAUUAUCAGUUCUCGCAUCUUUCAUAUCCUUUGCACCUGUCUUGUGCCAUGUUGCACUCACAACACACCUAAUGUAUGUGAGGUUUAUGCUUCGUUGUC